GUGCUCGCUUUGGCAGCACAUAUAUUAAAAUUGGAAUGAUACAGAGAAGAUUUGCAUGGCCCCUGCUCAAGGAUGACACACAAAUUUGUGAAGCAUCCCAUAUUUUU
ensembl:snRNA U6 U6 spliceosomal RNA